rnacentral:lncRNA from 1 species
CUCCGAUACCCACCCCUGUCCAUUAGCAUAUCAUCACACUCCCUGUCUCCUUAAUCCACUCUUCCCAUGCAGCCGUUUAUCGUUCUUCCUUUUUAGGUUUUUGAAAUGGAGGCAGUGUGGGAGGGUGAGUGUUGAUAAUGGUGCGAAACAGAAAACAUCCUCAAGGUCCAUGGGGAGAUGGGUUGAUUGGGGUGUCAUGGCCUCCAUGAAACACUCUCUGGAGAGUUAUAGACAGGGAGCCCAACUCACUCGCUUGGAGAGGGGACCCAGAACACCAUCAAGCUAAAACAUGAGGGAGAGAAGGGCACUCUGCACCACUGGGGACUGGACAAUGCCUAUCAAUGGAUAAAGCUCCAACUGGAAUCUGCAGGGCACAUUUCACUUCCCACAUACUUACCACAAACCAGCUGCCCCGGGAGCCUCUGACUCUGUCUUCUCCAUAACUACUGCCCAGAGUGUUCUAUGUGUCCCAGGUUUCACCCCUUUUGUGGUUUCUACUUCUUUGCAUUCAUACAAAAAAUACGAUUUUUCUGAUAUUAAUCUUUUUCUCUGCCUGAUUCUUGGUCUCUGACUACUGAAUCUAAAACAGCAGACAGUAAAAAGGGAAAGGGCCUUUUGCAAAUAAAACAAAAGAAAAACCCUCCCUCUCCUGCAUAGUCAUGUGUUAACAUUUUAGAAAAUGCAUGAACAUCUGAACAAGAAAAUGUAAAUUACCUAUAAACGGCCUGUCUGCUCUGGAGA